ACGGCCCACCAAGCCUGCGAUCAGUAACUGGUGUGAGAGCACGACCAGUCACACGGGCACUGAGACACGGGCCCGACUCCUACGGGAGGCAGCAGUAAGGAAUAUUGGUCAAUGGACGCAAGUCUGAACCAGCCAUGCCGCGUGGAGGAUGAAGGUCCUCUGGAUUGUAAACUUCUUUUAUCUGGGACGAAAAAGGGUCUUUCUAGAUCAACUGACGGUACCAGAUGAAUAAGCACCGGCUAACUCCGUGCCAGCAGCCGCGGUAAUACGGAGGGUGCAAGCGUUAUCCGGAUUCACUGGGUUUAAAGGGUGCGUAGGUGGGUUGGUAAGUCAGUGGUGAAAUCCCCGAGCUUAACUUGGGAACUGCCAUUGAUACUAUCAGUCUUGAAUAUUGUGGAGGUUAGCGGAAUAUGUCAUGUAGCGGUGAAAUGCUUAGAUAUGACAUAGAACACCAAUUGCGAAGGCAGCUGGCUACGCAUAUAUUGACACUGAGGCACGAAAGCGUGGGGAUCAAACAGGAUUAGAUACCCUGGUAGUCCACGCCCUAAACUAUGGAUACUCGACAUCAGCGAUACACUGUUGGUGUCUGAGCGAAAGCAUUAAGUAUCCCACCUGGGAA
rnacentral:rRNA from 1 species